UACGGAGGAGGAAAGCGUUGUCCGGAAUUAUUGGGCGUAAAGCGUCCGUAGGUGGUUGACCAAGUCUGCUGUCAAAGGGUGGGGCUUAACCUCAUAAAGGCAGUGGAAACUGGUGAGCUAGAGUGCGGUAGGGGUAAGGGGAAUUCCCUGUGUAGCGGUGAAAUGCGUAGAGAUUGGGAAGAACAUCGGUGGCGAAAGCGCCUUGCUGGGCCUGCACUGACACUGAGGGAAGAAAGCUAGGGGAGCGAAAGGG
rnacentral:rRNA from 1 species